rnacentral:snoRNA from 1 species
GGAUCAAUGAUGACUCCCACAAACCAUAUCCCAGAAGCUGAACAAAAUGAGUGAGAGCUCACACUCUUCGUUCUCAUCGUGACUGAGGUCC